rnacentral:pre_miRNA from 1 species
UCAUUUUUGUGAUGAGUGCAAUUUGUCUUUUUUAAUUGCAUAGUCGCAAAAGUGAUG